rnacentral:rRNA from 1 species
UACGGGGGGGGCAAGCGUUGUUCGGAAUUACUGGGCGUAAAGGGCUCGUAGGCGGCCAACUAAGUCAGACGUGAAAUCCCUCGGCUUAACCGGGGAACUGCGUCUGAUACUGGAUGGCUUGAGAUUGGGAGAGGGAUGCGGAAUUCCAGGUGUAGCGGUGAAAUGCGUAGAUAUCUGGAGGAACACCGGUGGCGAAGGCGACAUCCUGGACCGGCAUUGACGCUGAGGAGCGAAAGCUAGGGGAGCAAACGGG